rnacentral:rRNA from 1 species
CCACAAUGGGCGCAAGCCUGAUGGAGCAACGCCGCGUGAGUGAAGAAGGGUUUCGGCUCGUAAAGCUCUGUUGUUAAAGAAGAACACGUAUGAGAGUAACUGUUCAUACGUUGACGGUAUUUAACCAGAAAGUCACGGCUAACUACGUGCCAGCAGCCGCGGUAAUACGUAGGUGGCAAGCGUUAUCCGGAUUUAUUGGGCGUAAAGAGAGUGCAGGCGGUUUUCUAAGUCUGAUGUGAAAGCCUUCGGCUUAACCGGAGAAGUGCAUCGGAAACUGGAUAACUUGAGUGCAGAAGAGGGUAGUGGAACUCCAUGUGUAGCGGUGGAAUGCGUAGAUAUAUGGAAGAACACCAGUGGCGAAGGCGGCUACCUGGUCUGCAACUGACGCUGAGACUCGAAAGCAUGGGUAGCGAACAGGAUUAGAUACCCUGGUAG